AUUGAACGCUGGCGGCAUGCUUUACACAUGCAAGUCGAACGGCAGCGGGGUAGUGCUUGCACUACUGCCGGCGAGUGGCGAACGGGUGAGUAAUAUGUCGGAACGUACCGAGUAAUGGGGGAUAACCAAUCGAAAGAUUGGCUAAUACCGCAUACGUCCUGAGGGAGAAAGCGGGGGAUCGCAAGACCUCGCGUUAUUCGAGCGGCCGAUAACUGAUUAGCUAGUUGGUGGGGUAAAGGCCUACCAAGGCGACGAUCAGUAGCGGGUCUGAGAGGACGAUCCGCCACACUGGGACUGAGACACGGCCCAGACUCCUACGGGAGGCAGCAGUGGGGAAUUUUGGACAAUGGGGGCAACCCUGAUCCAGCCAUGCCGCGUGUAUGAAGAAGGCCUUCGGGUUGUAAAGUACUUUUGUUAGGGAAGAAAAGGGAAGUGCUAAUACCACUUUUUGCUGACGGUACCUAAAGAAUAAGCACCGGCUAACUACGUG
rnacentral:rRNA from 1 species